AUUUCGUUUUUUAUGGUGGAAAUUGGUGAAUCGUCAUUCGCCUACCUUCAAAUAUUUUAUAUCUUGGAUUACGGCAUCCUUCUUCCAAGUUAUAUAGUAUUGUGUUGGGUCGUAGCCUUAAUAUUACGUUUGGGUGUCUUAUUAAGGAUCCUAUAUCUAAUCUAAACUUGUCUUUUUUUUUUCAGAUGUCUUCCAACAAUGCUGCUUCUCGGUCAAACCCUACUAGCUCCUUCUCUAUCAUGAACCUUUGUGGGAGAGUCAUCUUUGAUGGUUCAAACUUUAAUGAUUGGAUCAGGAACAUCAGGAUGGUCACGCGUUACGAGGACAAGGAAUAUGUCCUCGACAAGAAGCUGAAAGAAAUUGAUGAGUCAACUGCUACUCCAUAGGAGAUCGCUGACUUUAGGGCACAUGAGAUAGAUGAUACCAAAGUGGCAUGUAUCAUGUUGGCCACAAUGGCAGCUGAACUCCAUAAGUCCUAUGAGGACUUUUAACCUUUUGAGAUGCACAUGGACUUGAUGGACCACUACCAUCAAAGUGCUCGUCAAGAGAGGUAUGAAAUCAUCUCUUCCAUGAUAACAACCCGAAUGAAGGAUGGUGAAUCCAUCACGGGCCACAUACAGAAAAUGAAAAGGUUUGUGGACCGUCUGCUGAAGUUGAAUGUGAACUUCCCAGAGGAGUUGGCUAUUGAUAUCAUACUGCACUCCUUACCUACUUCUUUUGAUCAGUUUCGGAUGACCUAUCAUAUGAACAAGGAGGAGGUCACACUCAGCAAAUUUCAAGGACUUUUGAAGACCGCCGAAACCGGUCUCAAGGGUAAAUCAUUUAUUACUAGUCCUACUCCUAACACUGCCCCUGUUCUAGCAAUCGGGAAAAGUAGAGGGAAGAAGAGGAAGACCCCUUCGAAGGGUACCAAGGGAAAGUCUCUUGAUGGGUCCUCUUCAACUAGAACCAAAGGUGGUUCUAUCACUCCUUCUUCAAACCCAAAGGAAGCUCAGUGCUUCUAUUGUCAGGAGAAGGGGUGCUGGAAACGAAACUGCCCCAAGUACCUACAAGAUGUUAAGGAUGGGAAGGUCAAACCUACCCAUGCAAGUAUGUACACUAUAUUGUCUAAUAAAUCACUACAUUCUACUUCUUGGGCUCUUGAUAUAGGUUGUGGUAUUCAUAUAUGUUCUGAUUUGCAGAGCCUAAGAAGAAGUGAGGAUGUGGAGCACGGAAAGAUAAACUUAAUCUUGGGUUAUAGGAUAGCUUCACAUGUCACCAAGAUUGGAGUUUAUUCUUUGUUGCUAAGUAGUGUGUUAGUUUUAGAUUUGAAUAAGUGUUGUUACUCGUCUGAUAUGGCGAGAAAUAUUAUUUCCUUUCAUGGUUUGUACAAACAAGGAUUUACUUUUUCAUUUGAUAAUGAAGUUAGUGGUAUUAAUGCCUUUUAUAAUAAUGUUCUUUAUUUUAAAACAUUACCUUGUGAUGGUGUAUAUGAAACUGUGUUGGUUGUAGACAACUUAGGAAAUAAUGUAUUACAUAUCAAUUCUUCCACUAGUUUGGAUAAAGCAUCCUUGUGGCAUUGUUGUCUUCGACAUGUUAACAAGAAGCGCAUAGGCCAACUCCAAAUGGCUGGAGUCUUGGAGUCAUUUGACUUCAGGUCGGAUGAUAGUUGUGAGUCUUAUUUACUUGGAAAAAUGACAAAGUCACCUCACUAGUUCUUCUGCUAGGGGUGAAGGUUUGUUGGACUUCAUACACACAGAUGUAUGUGGACCCUUCAGAACAGCCACAAGGGAUGCCAACCGCUUCUAUGUGACUUUUACUGAUGAUUACAAUAUGAUUACAAUAGAUAUGGCUAUGUCUACUUAAUUAAGCACACGUCAGAAACUUUUGAAAAGUUCAAGGAGUUUAAACAGGAAGUGGAGAAUCAGCUGGGCAGGAACAUUAAGAUGCUCCGAUCCGAUCGAGGAGGAGAGUAUCUUAGCACAGAGUUCCUUGACUAUCAUAAGGAAUGUGGAAUUGUUUCACAAUUGACACCUCCCAUGAAACCACAACUUAAUGGUGUGGCUGAGAGGCACAAUCGAACCUUGUUAGACAUGGUUCAUCCCAUGAUGAGUCGAGCUUCGUUACCAAUAUCAUUCUGGGGGUAUACCUUAGAGACUGCCGCCUAUAUCCUGAAUUUAGUCCCUACCAAGAAGGUUGCCAAAACACCUCACGAGAUGUAGACUGGGAAAGUCCCCAAUUCGAACCACAUCAAGAUUUGGGGUUACGAGGCUUUUGUGAGGCGUGAGACUCAGGAUAAGCUCGAACCUCAUAGUGAGCCGUGUAUUUUCAUCAGAUACCCACAAAAUUCUUUUGGUUACCUCUUCUACAGACCCAGUGAGAAUGUGGUCUUUGUGGCAAGGAGAGGGGUCUUUCGCGAGAGAGUUUAUAAGCCAAGGAAACAGUGGGAGGCAAAUUGACCUUGAAGAACUUCAAGAUUCAAGCGGUGAAGGAACCUCAAAACCUAACAAUUAACCUGAGGAGGAAACUCAUGUUGAUGAGUCCGUACCUCUGAGGUGUUCCAUAAGAGUUAGGAAUCCACUUGAGCAUUACUAUGGUUUUCAUAUUACUGCGAAAGGUGAUUCAUUUAUCACUGAUAGUACACUGGUAAAUUUAGAUGAGCCUAACAGCUUUAAGGAAGCCAUGGCUGGCCCAGAGUCCGCCAAAUGAAAAGAGGCCAUGGACAGCGAGAUUCAGUCCUUUUAUGACAGUCAAAUUUAGAACUUGGUUGACAAUGUACCGGGUCGUAAGACGGUCGGGUAAAAAUGGAUCUUCAAGAACAAGACCGACAUGGAUGGGAAUGUACACACUUAUAAAGUGCGACUGGUUGCGAAGGGAUUUACUAAACCUAGUAUUGAAGAUUAAGUCUAUUAGGGUUUUGCUAGCCAUAGUUGCAUUUCAUGAUUAUGAAAUAUGGCAAAUGGAUGUCAAAACCGCUUUCCUUAAUGGAAAGUUGGCUAAGGAGGUUUACAUGAGUCAGCCAGAGGGGUUUGUCGAUGCAAAGCACCCUAAUAGAGUGUGUAAGAUUGAGAAAUUCAUCUAUUGAUUGAAACAAGCACCUCGCAGAUGGAAUCUUUGUUUCGAUGAGAAAGUCAAAGAGUUUGGUUUUUCAUGGAGCGAAGAUGAGUCCUGUGUAUAUGUUAAGGCUAGUGGGAGUAUAGUUAGCUUUUUGGUACUGUAUGUGGAUGACAUAUUGUUCAUAGGAAAUGACAUCCCAACCUUGCAGUAGGUUAACUCCUGGCUUGGGAAGUGUUUCGCUAUGAAGGAUCUUAGAGAAGCUGCCUAUAUCCUAGGGAUAAGGAUUUUGAGAGAAAGGAGUAAGAGACUAAUUGGACUAAGUCAAAGUACCUACUUGGAUACGGUGCUGAAGAGGUUCAGCAUGCAGGAUUCCAAGAAAGGUGAUUUACUAAUCCAGUGUAACGCCAAACUAAGUAAGACUCAGAGCCCGAGUACAGAGGCUGAGAUAGAUGAUAUGAGUCGAGUACCAUAUGCUUCCGUUGUAGGCUCGAUCAUGUAUGGUAUGACUUGUACUCGCCCUGAUGUGGCCUUUUCUUUGAGCAUGGUCAGUGGAUAUCAAGGGAAUCUGGGCAAGGCUCACUAGGCUGUGGUAAAGAAUAUUCUCAAGAACCUAAGGAAGACUAUGGAUUGGGUCCUUACCCUUGGUGGGAGUGAUGACUUGAGAGUAGCCGGGUAUAGUGAUUUUGGUUUCCAAAAUGAUAGGGAUAACUUCCGCUCUCAGUCAGGCUGGGUCUUUACCCUAAAUGGAGGAGCAAUUACUUGGAAGAGUUCCAAGUAAGAAACAGUAGCUUAUUCAACUUGUGAAUCUGAGUACAUAGCAGCAAGCGAGGCGGAAAAAGGAGGCUAUAUGGCUAAAGAACUUCAUUGGAGACCUUGGAGUUGUACCAGCUAUUAAAGAGCUUAUGGAGAUUUUCUGUAACAAUGAGGGUGCAGUUGCCUUAGCUAAGGAACCAAGGGAUCAUGACAAAUCUAGGCACAUCAACAGGAAAUACCACUUCAUUAGACAUCGGAUAGAAGAAGGACUCCUUGUGGUAAAGAGGGUAUUAUCGGAUGAGAACCCAACAGACCCCCUCACGAAGGCACUGUGUAGGGUUAAGCAUUUGCAGCAUGCGAGGCACAUCAGGCUGAAGGAUGAUAUUAGUUUCACAGAUUAGAUAGUUAUUUCUGAAACUUGUAUAAUGUAAAUUGACAAUUGAUGAUUAAAUAAAAGUUGUUGUUUAUUUGUAAGUAAAGUGUUGCUAUCGUGUGUCAAUUGUUUACUACUGUUUCAAUUUUGCGUGUUUUGACUUGCAGAAUAAUUUCUUUAUUCAAACUCUCCACAAUCAGUCAUAUGUUGGAAGUUGAUAUGAAUCAAGACUAUCAUAAAUUGGGCUUGUAGAUGUCUAAGAAGUUAGACAUAACAAAACGUUGCUAACACAUUCACGAGUGCUCAUAAGUUCUGAGCAUUGGAUUCAACCCACGCACACUUGUAUCACUUCAUGGAAUUUAUCUCGAGUGAUCGUGAGACGGUAACAUCAUAUAAGUCUUCAAACCUAGAGAUAUGAGUUGUUGAUUAUGAGUUAGCUGUGCAUUUAUUGUACGAAAACGCAUCGGUAACUCAAUGUUAUAAAACGUGCUUUUGUGUAUGAUUCAACAAAUAGUUAGUACAAGCAUAUGAGUCGAAUCUUAUCUGUUGCUUCUAGUCCUUGGAGUAUUAGAAGCGAUAUCUGGACCCCUCGAUGAGUUUGUUUUGACCUAUGUACCGGGCCCGAUCAAAACCAAAUUGAUGUGUUCAUUUUAGUUCUAUGUCAAACAAAUCGAAAAUCGGGUAACAGACUGUUGGACAAUAAGUACGACAUUGUUCCAUGUAUUUUUCCGGCUGAUAUCUAGAAUAGAGGAUUAUAUGAUCACUUAUCUUAAAUGGCGCAUCAUCAUCUUAGUUCCACGAAACUUUGAAAGAGCUACGAUUGCCGGCCGGUUCCUGAAAUCAUACCCGUAACUAUAGGUAUUAGACUUAUCCAAGUGGGAGACUGUUGGAUAAGGUGUCUAAGUUCAUAACUUUAUUUACUAUGUACUUGACCCAGCUUGGCAUGGUCUAUUUGGGUCGCAUGGCAUCAUAAUAAUUGGAUAGACAAAAUGAGAAAAGGACACUUGUGGUUGUUAAUAUAUUAUAAGUUCUAAUAUAUUAUUUAAUUAGUAUUGAUCAAGAAUUAAUUUGUAAUUAAUUUUGUGAUCAAAAAGAGACUAAUUAAAUAUAUGGGGAUUGAUUUGUAAAUCAUUCAUUCUUAUGUAGUGGGCUUAUGGUUCAAGCUUCAAUAGAUUGGGCUAGGACCCAUUGGGUGCUCCAUGGAGGUUAAAACCCAUGGAUCAUGGAGGAAAUGAAAAGUCAUGCAAAUUAGGGUUUACAUGGUGUAACCCUACAUGUGGCACACUAUAUAAAGAGCCCCAUGGCAAGCAAAAUUGGCUCUAAGACUAAAGAAAGUGAGGGCUAGCCGAUUUUUGUGAUCAAGUGUUCUUCUCUCAAGUUAUUCCAAGAGUUGUGGUGUUGCGUGAAACAUUUGAGGCAUCACAUUUGGGGUGCUAGGCUCACAUGGUCAUAAGGAAUCCAAGCUACAAGAAAGGUAUGUCAUUCUACUAGUUUUUAAUAUUACAAGUUCCCUACGCCAUGCUAGUUAGGAUGAAAACCAUGGAAAUCAAAUUUGCAUGAAUAUUAGAGAAAACAUAGAUCCAAGGUUUCUAGGGUUGCAUGUACACCACAGGAGUGUUAGAAUGCUCAAAACCCAUCACAAUCAACCAUCAGGUUGGAAUACCAAUAUUCAACGGGUCUAGUCAUCCUCGGGAUAGAAUAACCUCAAGCCCAUUCGACCAUCGGGUCGGGAUGCCCCGGCCUGUUGGCUUACACACAAAGCGGUGAAGCCUCAUCCACCGAUUAAACAUGUGCACAUAUAACAAAUAAUCAUAUAAAAGUCUACGGCCAGUCAUACAGAUCUACAGAUCACUAAGCAUAACAACAUCCCAUCUACCAGGAUUCAGAUCUAACAAAUCACGAUAACACAAAAGCAUGCAUAACAUGAUAUCAAUCCAAUGAGCCGACAUUGGUGACUUCAACCCACAAGUAUAGUGAGGAAAACGUACCUCGACAGGUGAACCCACGAAUCUAUGACUGCAGAUCCGCUAGAAUCCCCACGUAACAUGCAUACAUAACAUUCAAUUAACAUUCAGGCUCCAAAUCAGAUCCAAUACUCCAAACAUAGGGUAAAAAGACCAUUUUACCCCUCACCUAGUUUGGUCCAAGACUAAGGCGUAACUCCUAAUUAAUAGCCCCACAAACCAAAUAAUCAUCCAAAGCCCACUUAUGGCCCAAUUUUCCAAAUUAGGCCCAAACCCUUCAUGGGUCUUACCCUAAAGCCCAAUAACUCUUCCUAGUAAAAAACACUUGUUCUUAGCUGGUCCAAAAAUGCCCCAAACAACCAAGACCAAAAGAUGGCCCAAAUCCUAAAUGACACCAAAAGGCCCAAUAAGGCCUAAAUAUCCAAAUUCGGCCCAAAACCAUCAUGGGCCUAACCCGAGAAGGCCCAAUAUCCUAAAAGGCUCAAAAUAACCAAUGGUCAACCCUGGUAAAACUUCUAGUCAAAAGUCCAUAGCCAACAAGCCAACAAAACUGGAAAAGUACAACCGGCUGAGUACGUCCCACAUACUCAGCUAGUAUGCCCAGCAUACACCCUUUGGGGCCAAUAAACACAGCGUACCAGAUGGGUACACCCAUCGUACUCCCUUGAACCCCAUUCUUCUCUAUUAAGCACUUAACCACUUAAGUCCUUUCUCUAAACUCCCAGAUCCAAUUCCUAUGGAUGACUUAUCACGUAAAGUUGGCAACUUUACUUGCAUUCAAGACUUAAUGGGGCUCUUGUGCUCAAAAGAGCUUAAUGAAAGGUCUUAAGACAUGCACUAGACCAAAUAGACCCUAAAGAUCACAUUUUUAUGCCUUGGGGACUCAUAAAAUGUCUAAAUCUACAAGAUCAAGCCUCUGAACCAACCUUAGCUCACAAGGACCAACCAAAGGAGCUAAAAUGACCAUAAUCAAACCCAAAAGAAGAUCUAACAAGGGAGAUGAUAAGAUCAAAGAUUUUUACCUUCAAUAGAUUGCAAAAGAUGGAAAACCUCUAGAUCAACAAGCUCCUUUCCAGGUGGUGAUUCUUCAACAAGCUCCAAGCUCUUCAAAGUGCACAAAAUACUCCAAGAUCCUUCACAAUGGCUUAAAAGAUCCAAGAUAAAGGCUAAGGGUAACCUUCUAGGGUUUAGGAGGCUUAGAGGUUGAUAAACGAUGAGUCUCAUCAAAGAAAUGAGAUUUAAAUAGGGUUAAGGACCAAAAAUUAGGGAUUUAUGGAUGAAGGGGGUACACCCCAUGUACCCCUUAGUAUGCCCGACAUACUCAUCGACCAUCCGCAACCAAUCUUCUCGGUAUGCCCCGCGUACACAUCUAGUACGCCCUGCGUACUAGAUGUCCCUCCAAAACUCUAAAACUUCAUUCGGCCUUCACUCCUUCAUCCUAAGUCCGUUUCCUAUGAACCCUAUUUCCAUGGAGAGGUGACGAGAAGCCCUAUGCUUCUAUCAACUGACCCUCCCUCUAAAACUUCCCGAAUAAGAUCCCACAAAUCAUAAAGUCCCAAACUAACAGAUUAUGAUUAUACCAUUGGGCUCCGUAACACCAUCGAACACUCGGAUCACUUAAACUAUAACACCUACAUUAAAAAAGGACCAAAUCCUUUCUUUCCCAAGGCCUAAGCCUUAUGAUAACUGAUGAUCAGGCCACAACCCCGAAUAAUGAAGCAAUUAGAAACCGAGUGUUACAACUCUCCCCAACAUAAAUUCGAUUUCGUCCUCGCAAUCAUUCCUUACCAUCCCUGGCAUGCCCGAGAGUGUGAGAGACACCGCCGCAACCAUGAGUAUACAACGACCUUCCCAAGGCAACCGAACCCAGUAGGACUUCCAACCCGAAGAAGAAAAAUCCACAAUCCCAUGCAGAAAACCAACCCUACAUUAUCUGAAAUCUGAAACCUCAAGGUGGUUUGACUUCCCAACAGACCGCCCAUAACAAAUCAAUUGCUAAUUCCACUUAACUUAUCCAUCCAACUAUUUACUCGACUCCUGAUCUCCUGAGAUUCCUACUAGAAAAAAGAAUCGCAAUCCAUCUAAACUGAAAACAUCCUUUCUUACCCUGAACCUCCAACGGAUGCCCUGGCAUACAGAUUUCUUAUCCCACUUCAUUGAAUAUAGGCCUGGCAAGAAGACUCUCGCAAUUCCCAACACGAGUUUCCACCAAAAGCCAGAAAUGGCCACUCAUAAAAUUUCUCAUCAAUCCUUCCUAAGGUUUAUGAGCGUUCAUCCAUGAAUUUAUCCCUAGUCCCUAACUGGAGACACCACAAAGAACAUGCGGAAAAGAUCCUCAAAACUUAUCGAUCGCGAACUUUUAUCAUUCCAAAACCAUAUGAUGUACCAAAACCCCAAAUAACUCUAACGCUCUGCCAUGCCACUACCAACCACUGUUCCGACUAGAAAAAGAUGAUCAAUCCAAGAAUUUCCACAUUGCAUCCAACCCCUAUUAGCGCAUGUGCACCCCCACCUGGGAAAACCACUCGAUACACUCAGGAGGAACUUAAUGAUUCGUGACUUUGAAACUGAUUCCCAACUUGAUAAUAAAACCCUUAACAACAACCUAUGAACAAACGGAAAUAUAAUGCAUACUUUCCACAAAUACUUUCUGAUACCUGACUAAUACUCUCGACAACCCUUAACUAUUCCCUUUAAACAAAACACAUUACACCUCUGUCGGCAGUACACAUACUGGAUUACCACAAUGCACAUCCUUAGGGAACCCAUAACCACGUCCCAAAAAAGGGAAGAAACACUAGAGCUCUAUUGAGCAACCCACCACAAACAUUAACAGAGGAAUUUCCCAUGAAUGAUCGAAACAUACCCCAAACAUUGAAUGAGACUGAACAGAUUCUAUAAAUUACCCACAUAGCUCAUGAAGACUCCUUGAAUGCUACCAAAAACCUUAGCCUACUAUAACCAAAAUUUCACAUUCCCAAUAAGGGUAAACAUAACCUAAAGCCAAAGGAAAUGAAACAUACUGAACUGGAUGGUAGGUUGACACAUUCCUUGCACUUCAACUUUCCCCACUUGAAUCUUUCAUAAAAUCUCACCUGAAUGAUGAAUUCAACGACCAAUGGCAUGGGACAUAUUGACACUUAAUCAAGAGAAGCAAAAACUACCCGGAACUGAACAUAACCAUCUUUGGAAAUAAUUCACUGCUCAACGUGUGCCCAAACUAAUCUGAACCGCAAUCCAAACUGACAACUAAAAAAUCCCUCAAUGAUUGAUGCUUAACCUGAGAAUCCCAGUUAUCCCCCACUUAGAACUCAACCCACCAUUCACUGUGUUGAAACCAAAUCAUAACUCAAUCGGGUCAACCAUAUACGACCAUACCUGACCCUGGAAUGAAUAAUACACACAGAAUGAUCCUCCAUAUACGGAUCAAACGAAUCCCAAGAAGAUAUUGAAUUUCAGCUAAAGACCUCUGAAAUCCCCAAUCAUAACCACUUAACAUUAUGGGUUUCAUACAAAAGUGUAAACAACUACCGACUUACGAUCCAAACAUAUACUACAUGCCUGCAACCCCAACAAUAAUAUGACACCUGGCUUUUUUAUAUCCCAAGAAUACAGACCCUUGUUCACAUCACAAAGUACAAGUACUACAUCAACCACCUGCGCAUAUGGGUGCUAAAAUACUGUCGCCAACCACCGCGACCAACAAAUCCGAAUCUUAGUUACAACCUAAGUCUAGAUGUGAAAAGCCUGCUUACUCUUCCGAAGUCAGAAAGUUGAAGAGAGCAUGAUCCACGCCAUAGAUAUCGACAUUCCAAUCCAUCAAUCAACCAUCCCAUUUCCACCUGAACUUCUCAAGCUGAUCAUAACCAUCACUUCAACCCUGAGUCCCACGACUCAAAGCACAACAUCGAGCAAAACCCUCGAGACCUCUAAACCAACAUACUCAUCCAAAUUUGCACCAUUAAACCGACCUCGCCGCUCACACCCGAGGCAACCAUAACCAAAAGAUCAAUAGAUGUGGGACCACUGCCACAAAUCAUGGUACCAGACCAUGUUAUCCUCCAUGAACAACCCUUUGAAUUCCUGAAACCCUCCUCGAUCUUAGUAUGGAUCUUUUGCUUACAAUAGUACCAGCCCAAUACUACCAUCCACACCUAUCCAUACUUUUCUCAAGAAUCAUCUCGGUUCCUCUAAGACCUACUCAUAAAAUACUCCCAACACGUGCUCUACAGUGAAACAACCAUACUAAAUGCAUCCUAGGCUCUCCUAGGAUUUCACCCACACCACCUCUGCCAUUAGUUGUUGAAGAACCCCUAACAAUUUCAGCUAACCACUUUAUGAAUAUGACUACAUGCAACAAAGCUUAAAUAAUCCUUCGACUAAAGGACUCAAGCCUACAACGGUUGGACUCAGACAAGAGCUGGGCAAUAGGUCCAAGUCCUUUAUUCUAACAUUAUUUAACCUUCAUAGCAUGUAAUUUAAUGUAUUCAUUUGAUAAUUAACUCUCAUCGACAUGGGUCCCAUAAAGCACAAAGCAAACAACAUUCAAGCAGAGGAGGCGACUGGCACUAGAACACAAUAAAAUUAGACAGAUUCUCAUAUGAAACACUCGAUCUUAAACUCCCAUCAUCUCAGCGCACCCUCGCCCCUCCCCCACUCUCUCAAGAGUGGCAAAACAUUCCUUACGUUGGCCUGCUGUGAACUGCACCCGCUCAAAGGAAACCACAACCUCCUCAACCAAUAACGCAACUGGCUGGCUAACCCUAGACAACUCACCUACGACUAACUACCAUGUGACCCUCCAUUGGUGUUAGAUGACUAGCGCAUGAAUACAAUCACAUGCCCCACAGUUUAAACAAUGUUAGGCUAAAAGAUUCAAUCCCAUAGCGGUUGGACUUAGACAAGAGUUGCGCAGCAGGACCAAAUCCCUUACCCUAAGAUCAUUUAAACCAUGUAGCAUGUGAAUUAGCAUAUUCACUCAAUAGCCAUUUCACAUGUGCAAAGAGUCACACACAAUCAAUCAGGGAGUCUAUAAUAGAUAAGGCAUCAUAUAAUCAGCAAGUCGAUCAUGCAAUUCCUGAAGAUCCCUAGCCUAUCACUAGCAUGAUGUUCUAACAUAUCACAAUAUCAAAUAACAGUGUGGUAAUUUGCGGUCUACUUACCGGCUCCAACUAAUCAUACACAUCGCAUCUCCCAUGAUUAUUUUGAAAACAAUUUGAAAAUCAUUUUUAAAAUCAUUUCCUUAGUUUGAGACUGGAUUCACACAAGUGUUCUUCUAAUUCACUCAAACCAAGGCUCUGAUAUCAACUUUUAACAUCCCAUAAACUUUAACUAUAUAACUUUAUACUUUUAAAAACCAUCUAUUUACUAAUAAAAGUGUUCACAAUUUUUUUUCCAAUAUGUUAUUUAAAACUCAGUGUCUCCCAAAAUCAAUGACAUAAUAUCAGGAUGUGUACGGUUACGCCUUCUCCUUGCCAUGCUUCUCUGAAGAGCCUGAAACCAUAAACAAAAAUUGUAAGCAUAAAGCUUAGUGAGUUCCCACAAAAUACCAACACACAUACAUAUAACAUAUACAAAUAAAAACAUACUACGGUUCUAGUUAAUCAUCAGGUUGGAAUACCCCAGGCCCUCAACCAUCGGGUUGGAAUGCCAAUACACUAAGGAUCUAAUCAACCAUCAGGUUAGAAUACCCCAGGCCCUCAACCAUUGGGAUGGAAGGCCAAUAUAUUAUGGGUCCAAUCAUCCUCGGUAUGGAAUACCCUAGGCCUAUUGACUGAUCCACAAAGCAAUCCAAUCUCACCACAUAUCAUCCAAUCAUAUCAGGUCCAAUCAACCAAUGCGUUGGAAUACCCAAGGCCCAAUUAACCAUCAGGUUGGAAUGCCAAUAUACAAUAGGUCCAGUCAUCCAUGGGAUGCAAUACCCUGGAGCCCAUUCAACCAUCGGUAUGGGUUGCCCCGACCUGUGUCUUACACAAAAAGCAGUGAAGCCUCAGUCACCGACUAAACAUGUGAACAUAUAAGAAAUAAGCAUAUAACAGUCUACAACCACUCAUACAGAUCUACAUAUCACUAAGCAUAGCAACAUCCCAUCUACAAGGAUACCGAUCUAACAGAUCACAACAGCACAAAAGCAUGCAUAACAGGAUAUCAAUCCAAUGGGCCGACAUUGGUCCCUUCGACUCGCAAGUAUAGCGAGGAACACUCACCUCGAUCGUUGAACCCACGAAUAAAUCUCUGACUAUAGAUCUGCUAAAACCCCUGCGCUAACAUGCAUGAAUAACAUUCAAUUAACAUUCGCGCUCCAUAUCAAAUCCAAUUAUCCAAAAGUAGGGUAAAAAGACCAUUUUACCCCUCACCUAGUUUGGUCCAAGAUUAAGGCCCAAACUCCUAAUUAAAAGCCUACAAACCAAAUAAUCAUCCAAAGCCCAGUUAUGGCCCAAUUUUCCAAAUUAGGCCCAAACCCUUCAUGGGUCUCACCCUAAAUCGCAAUAACUCUUCCUAGUCCAAAACACUUGUUCUCAAUUGUCCAACAAUGCGCCAAGCAACCAAGCCCAAAAGAUGGCCCAAAUCUGAAAUGACACCAAAAGGCCCAAUAAGUCCCAAAUAUCUAAAUUGGGCCCAAACCCAUCAUGGUCCUAACCCAAGAAGGCCCAAUAAAAGGCUCAAAAUAACUAAUGGUCAACCCUGGUCUAAGGUCUAAAGUUAACAAGUCAACAAAACUAGAAAAGUCCAACAGGCCGAGUACGCCCCGCGUACUCAGCUGGUACGCCCGGCAUACACCCUUUGGGGACAGUACGUGCAGCGUACUAGAUGGUUACGCCCAACGUACUCCCCUGAACGCCAUUCUUCUCCAUUAAGCAUUUAACCACUUAAGUACUUGCUCCAAAUUCUCAGAUCUGAUUCCUAUGGAUGACUUAUCACAUAAAUCUAGCAACUUUACUUGCAUACAUGACUUAAUGGGGCUCUAGAGCUCAAAAGAGCUUAAUGAAAUGUAUUAGCACAUGCAUGAGCCCAAAUAAACCAUAAAGAUCACAUUUUUAUGCCUUGUGGACUCCUAAAGCAUCCAGAUCUACAAGAUCAAGCCUCUGAAACAACUUUAGAUCACAAGGACCAACCAAAGGGGCUAAAAUGACCAUAAUCAAACCCAAAAGAAGAUCCAACCAAGGAGAUCACAAGAUCAAAGCUUUUUACCUUCAAUAGAUUGGAAAAGAUGGAAAACCUCUGGAUCUACAACCUCCUUUCCAGGUGGUGAUUCUUCAACAAAGCUCUAUACUCUUCAAAGUGCACAAAAUACUCCAAGAUCCUUCACAAUGGCCUAAAAGAUCCAAGAUAAAGGCUAAGGGUCGACUUCUAGGGUUUAGGAGGCUUAGAGGUUGAUAAAAGAUGAGGCUCAUGAAAUAAAUGAGGUUUAAAUAGGCUCAAGGACCAAAAAUUAGGGUUUGUGGUUAAAGGGAGUAUGCCCUUCAUACUCCUUAGUAUGCCCGACAUACUCAUCGACCAUCCACGACCAAUCUUAUCGGUACGCCUAGUAUACACAUCUAGUAUGUCCCGCGUACUAAAUGACCCUACAAAACUCUAAAACUUCAUUCGGUCUUAACUCCUUCGUCCUAAGACCGUUUCCAACGAACCCUUUAUCCAAAGAGAGGUAACGAGAAGCCAGGCGCUUCUAUCAACUCACCCUCGCCCUAAAACUUCUCAAGUAAGAACCCAAAACUAAUAAAGGCUUGAACUAACAAAUUAUGAUUAUACCCUUGGGCUCUGUAACACCAUCGAACACUCGUAUCAGUUAAACUAUAAUACCCACAUUCAAAAAUUGCCAAAUCCUUUCUUUCCCAAGGCCCUAAUCCUUAUGAUAAAUGAUGAUUGGGCAACAACCCCGAAUAAUGAAGCAAUUAGAAACCGAGUGUUACAGUUUGAGACUUCCACAUACUCUAAUAUUCUUUUUAUGAUUCAGUUUUAUGAUGUUAAACAAUUUGGUACUUAUUAUCUUUUAUGAAAAUGGUUUUUGGAUGUUUUACUUAUAUUUGGAAAAGAAAAUUCGGUUGAAAACUUAGGACUUUACACUUCAACAACUUCCUCAUGUACAAAAUUAUUCCUAUAUCACUUCUUAAUAUAAUUUAAAAUUCUCUUCAAGCUCCCAAAUCGACUUUCUUUAUGAAGGGAAAAUCUAUAGUUGUGACUAAAUGGAUGAUGAUGUAUUCUACCAUGAGUUCAACUAGUGCAUGUAUUCUUGGGAUUUUGUUCUAAAGGAAAAAAAUAAAAGGUUAAAAAGAAGAAGAUGAGUUCUCUUGAGAUGGGAUGACAACUAAUUAUCAAGAAGAAUAAGGAACAAUUUACAAGGAUAAAGAGCUAGCAAAGAAAAUUCCUUUGGAUAAAAACAAAAAAAUUAUUAGGGAUUGUACCAUCCCAAAAAUCAUGAUAAAAGUUUUCAAUUUUCAAAAAUCAUUUUUACAAACCAUAUGUCAUACAAAACAUUAUUUCCAAAACAUAGUCAUAAAAUCAGAGUAUCCAAAAACAUCUCUCAACAUAAAUCCAAUGGAUGAUAUGUACGAUUACGCCUUUGCCAUGUCCCGAUCAUCUGAUGGACCUGAAACAACAAAACCAAACUUGUAAGCCAAAGAUUAGUGAGUUCCCCUAUAAUACCCCCAUACAACAAAUUAUAUAAAAUCAUGCAUACUAGUUCCAUAUUCAUCGGAUUGGAGUACCCUUGGGUCUAUAGUCAUUCGAUUGGAUUACCCCUGAGCCCACAUCAUAAGUCAAGAUUCCCUCCUGGCCCUCAUCUUAUGUUGGAUUGCUCCUGAUCCCAUAAAAUAAGUCUGGAUUGCCCUCCUAGCCCUCAGUUUAUGCCUAGAUUUCUACCAGGUUUAUUGGCUUACUACACAAAGCAGUACCACCUAUAACCAACCGCACUAUGUCGACAUAUGCGAACUAUAAUCAAAUAUCAGCAAGUACAGAUAAUCUAACAGAUCUACCAGUCUAACAGAUCACUACAACAUAGUAAGGAAACGUAACAUAUUCUAGAGGAUCGACAUUGUUACCUUCGACCUACAAGUACAGCGAGGAAAACUCACCUAAAAGUCUAGAAGAUAGUUGAACUGAUCAUUGCUCCGAAUAUCAGCUCUACAAGUCACAUAUACAACAAACAAGGACCAAGCCUAAAUCUACAAAUCAAAAUACUCCUUUUAACCUAAAGUAAAACUUUUUAAAAGUCAACGGUCAAUGGUUAAAAAGUCAAAAGUUACCAUCCAGCCAGUCUAUGCCCAACGUAACAGCUCUACGCCCUGCGUAGAGCCUAAUGUGGAAAAACAGGGAGAAAAUGGAGCUACGCCCCGUGUAUAGGAAAUUACGCCUUGCGUAAUCCCUGAAACCCUAACUUAAUCAUUAAGUCAUUAACUCAGACCAAUAUUUAUUCCAACCUCCAGAUCUUUAUUCUUACAAACAUCUUUAUUGAUAAAGUCCCAGACUAUAUCCAUUUGCAUGCAUAUCGAGGGUACAAAAUCAUUAUCUAAGUCCAAAAAGUUAUCCAAUGCUCCAUAAAACAUGCAUGGAUGGAUGAGAGUGAACAAGCUCUCAUUUUUAUGACUUAUUCAACCUAAAAACGUUUUGAAAUGACCCUCAUAUGGUCUGGAGUAGCUCAUAAUCAUAUACACCAUGUUUAUGGAGAUAAAACCAUGAAAACCUAAAGCAAAGCUAGAUCUACCAUAAAGAUACAUCAAGGUGGGGAAUUUAUACCUUCUGGAGAUGGUUGACGGAAUGAAACUUUUGGAUCCAAUCUGAUUUGAGCUUCCAAUUGAUUUUACCACGUCUUUCUUCAUUCAAAAUUGAACACAAAACACUCUCAAGGCUCAAAAACACACCAAUGGGGAUUAAGGUUUCAAAGUGUCCGUUUGGGAUGAUGAAGGCUAAGGAUGGAAGGGCCUCAAGGGAUUUAGAGCUCCAAAAAAGUCUUAAAACCCCAAGAUUAGUGUUUUCGUUCUAGGGUGCUACGUGUUGUGUAGCUUGAUCUAUUCCCCGUGUAGCUCAUUUAAUCCCCAAUAAAUGAUUCCCUCCUAUGUGCUAUGUAGGAGAUUACUCUACGCCCCGCAUAAUACCAAACUUUCAAAUAUAUAAGCUUUUAAAUAAGAAAGGAAACUAGAUUUCGUCCUUGAAAUCCUCCGCUACAAAUAGAUUUCGGAUAAUGCUCACGUAUCUCUGACUCGGGCUCCCAGGCCCACUAGAAACCCUUCUUAUGUUGCCACUGAACCUUGACCCGAGGUAUCACCAUAUAUGUAAAGUCUUCAUCUUCCUCUCCAGAAUAACUACCGACCUCUCUGUUGGAUUAGUGUCUAAGUUCAUAACUACAUUUGGUAUGUACUUGACCCGAUUGGCAUGGUCUAUUUGGGUUUCAUGGCAUCAUGCAUUUGGAUAGACUAAAAUGAGACAAAUAACACUUACGGUUUAUUAAUAUAUUAUAAGUUCUAGUAUAUUAAUAAGAUUAUUUAAUUAGUAUUUAUUAAGAAUUAGUUUGGAAUUAAUUAAGUGAUCAAAAGGAGACUAAUUAAAUAUAUGGGUUGAUUGUGUAAAUCAUCCAUACUUGUAUAGUGGGCUAAUGCUCCAUGGAUUAUCAAGUUGGGCUAAAACCCAUAGGAUGCUCCAUGGUGUUUUUGUACCCAUGGAUCAUGGAAAUGAAAGGCAAUGACAAUUAGGGUUUACAUGGUGUAACCCUAAUUGUGACACAUUAUAUAAGCAUCUUAUUGUUCCUGAAAAUUGACCACUAUGAAGGAAUGGUGAGGGCUAGCCGAUUUCAUGAAAUGUCUCAUUUCUCUCAAGUUAUUCUAAGUGUAUUUGAUGUUGUGUGAACCAUUUGAGGUGUCACACUUGGGGCAGUAGGCUUUUGAGCUCCAUGAAAUCAAGCUACAUAAAAAGGUAUGUAUUCUAUCUAGUUUUUAUACCAGUACUUAUGAUUGUAUGCUAGUUAGGGUAAUACGUUGGAAUAUUCAUAUUUUCAUGUAUAAUAGAGAAAACAUAGAUCUAAGGUAUUUAGGGUUGCAUGUACACUUAGGAGUGUUAGAAUGCUCAAAACCCAACAGUGGUAUCAGAGCCUUGGCUUGUUUUCUUGUUAUACUUGCAAAAUUGGCUGAAAAAUCAAAGUUUGUUGUUGUAUGCUCAGCAGACUCGUCGAGUCCAUAAAGGGACUUGACGAGUCCAAGGCUAAAUUCAUCCAACUCGCCGAGUUUUUUCUUGCACUCGACGAGUUGGACCCCCAGACAGCAUAUCUUUGACUGUUUUGGCUAGAAUUGGACUAGGAACAUUACCCUAAGCUGUUUUUCAACUUAUAAACCUGUUUUUGAUGUGGUAAUGUCCAUGCUAAUCCAAUUUCAAAAAUAAUUGUCAAUAGAUUCAUGUUUUGUAAUAGUUUAAUGGUUAGGCUAAUUACAUGAAAAAAUAUUGAUUGAAUUAUCUUGUUCUUAUGAGUUGCUUAGAUUGAUAGAAAAAUUAUGUGAAAUUGUUGUUUUCAAUCCAAAUUAAUCUAAGAGUUGGUUCUAAAAUGUGUUUUUGUAACUUGUCCUCAAGUUAUAUGAAAAUUCACAUUUAAGAUACAUAAAACUCAUAAAUAUUUCCAUAGGUUAUGAAUAAAGAAAAGUCAUAUUCUUUUAAUAGUUUAAAGCCUUCUAUAACUUGUCCUCAAGUUAUGGAACUUGAAGAAUUUUUUGUAUUAAAACUACUUUAAACAUAUAAGUUAUGGAAUUGAAUAGUUUUGAAUAGUUUCAAAAACAUGCCCUCAAGUUUUGGAAUUUGUAAAGUUUUCCCUUAUGAAUACUUUAAUUUCAAGUUAAGCCCUUAGAAUUUUAAAAGUUAAAAUUCAACCCUUAUACUUUAUAGUAUUAUAAGUUAAUAAUAUAUAUAUAAGAGCAAGUCAGUGUUACCAUUAGUAGCCCUCAUUCACGAAGUCGGUCUAUAAGGGGGGUAUAAGGUUACUACCUAUAAAAUGGCAGUUUAAUGGGUGUCCGCUCUCACCCACCGCUUCCUUGAUUGGUGGAGGGUUGUUAUCCGAACGGGUAGGACAAGGACUAGAAUUCUUCCUUCAUUAAAAGUAUUAAUGAUAAAUACUAAGUAACUAAACCUUUUAUAAAUUGCAAAUCUUAGUUACUUUAGGAAAAUGUGAAUUGGGUGCUAACCCAUGAAAUUACACUUUGCACUUUGCUUAAGUCGGUUAGUGGAGCAUGUGUGGUUAAGCGGCACGCUAGCUGGAUUUAACAAGGUAGGCAAAGGGUAACCUAAUGUUUAUCAUAGUAUCGGUGGAACGUGUGUGGUUAACCGGCACAUCGAUUGAGGGGUAAAUAUUAAGAGUACCAACUAUGUUUGCAUGGUUAUUCACACCUUGUUUUGUGAUCCACGGCAUCCCAGUCACAAAAUUUGAAAGGGCACAAUCUAGAUUGAAACAUGCCAUUGCACAGUUCAAUGAAUCUUAAAAGAUCUAGGAGUUUCAAAUCCAUGUAAAACCUAAUUAAAUUAUUUCGUUUUCAUGGUGGAAAUUGGUGAAUCGUCAUUCACCUACCUUCAAAUAUUUUAUAGCUUGGAUUACGACAUCCCUCUUCCAAGUUAUAAAAGUAUUGUGUGGGUCCUAGCCUUAAUAUUUCAUAUUGGGUGUUAUAUUAAGGACUUUAGAUAAACUAUCUUGAAUAUCUCCCAAAAGAUGUCCAGUUCAGAUAUCUAUGAUCUUCCCAAAUCUCUUGGAACUUCACUUCCUCCACCUCUUCCAAUUAUUCUCCCUAACCCACAAGUUCAAGGUCACUCAAGCCCUAUUGGUAAGCAAGGUCUAUGUGUGAUGCAUCUUGGAGAUGAAGUCACAUAUUGACAAGUCGGGAGAGUUAGGUGUCAAAUUCUUAAGAAAGUUGGAUGUUCAAUCACUUUCUAACUCACAUAUUGAGUUCCUUUGGGGACUACUAUCAAACAGACUAUGAUAUGACCCUUAAUGAUCUUAUCUAUUUGCUUGGUGCUGCUGAAUCAGC
rnacentral:lncRNA from 1 species